CUACGGGCGGCUCCAGUGAGGAAUAUUGCACAAUGGGGGGAACCCUGAUGCAGCAACGCCGCGUGGAGGAUGACGCAUUUCGGUGUGUAAACUCCUUUUAUAUGUCAAGAAAAUGACGGUAGCAUAUGAAUAAGCACCGGCUAACUCCGUGCCAGCAGCCGCGGUAAUACGGAGGGUGCAAGCGUUACUCGGAAUCACUGGGCGUAAAGGACGCGUAGGCGGGUUGGAAAGUCAGGUGUGAAAUCCUACAGCUUAACUGUAGAACUGCACCUGAAACUUCUAAUCUAGAGUAUGGGAGGGGGAGAUGGAAUUAGUGGUGUAGGGGUAAAAUCCGUAGAUAUCACUAGGAAUACCUAAAGCGAAGGCGAUCUCCUGGAACAUUACUGACGCUAAGGCGUGGAAGCGUGGGGAGCAAACAGGAUUAGAUACCCGUGUAGUC
rnacentral:rRNA from 1 species